rnacentral:rRNA from 1 species
UAAGUCUGGUGUUUAAGUGCGGGGCUCAACCCCGUGAUACGCCGGAAACUGGGGAACUUGAGUGCAGAAGAGGAGAGCGGAAUUCCACGUGUAGCGGUGAAAUGCGUAGAGAUGUGGAGGAACACCAGUGGCGAAGGCGGCUCUCUGGACUGUAACUGACGCUGAGGCGCGAAAGCGUGGGGAGCAAACAGG